UACAGAGGGGGCAAGCGUUGUUCGGAAUUAUUGGGCGUAAAGGGCGCGUAGGCGGCCUGUUAAGUCGAACGUGAAAUCCCCGGGCUCAACCCGGGAACUGCGUCCGAUACUGGCAGGCUUGAAUUCCGGGAGAGGGAUGCGGAAUUCCAGGUGUAGCGGUGAAAUGCGUAGAUAUCUGGAGGAACACCGGUGGCGAAGGC
rnacentral:rRNA from 1 species